UUUUAUGGGGUGACUGCGUACCUUUUGUAUAAUGGGUCAGCGACUUAUAUUCUGUAGCAAGGUUAACCGAAUAGGGGAGCCGAAGGGAAACCGAGUCUUAACUGGGCGUUAAGUUGCAGGGUAUAGACCCGAAACCCGGUGAUCUAGCCAUGGGCAGGUUGAAGGUUGGGUAACACUAACUGGAGGACCGAACCGACUAAUGUUGAAAAAUUAGCGGAUGACUUGUGGCUGGGGGUGAAAGGCCAAUCAAACCGGGAGAUAGCUGGUUCUCCCCGAAAGCUAUUUAGGUAGCGCCUCGUGAAUUCAUCUCCGGGGGUAGAGCACUGUUUCGGCAAGGGGGUCAUCCCGACUUACCAACCCGAUGCAAACUGCGAAUACCGGAGAAUGUUAUCACGGGAGACACACGGCGGGUGCUAACGUCCGUCGUGAAGAGGGAAACAACCCAGACCGCCAGCUAAGGUCCCAAAGUCAUGGUUAAGUGGGAAACGAUGUGGGAAGGCCCAGACAGCCAGGAUGUUGGCUUAGAAGCAGCCAUCAUUUAAAGAAAGCGUAAUAGCUCACUGGUCGAGUCGGCCUGCGCGGAAGAUGUAACGGGGCUAAACCAUGCACCGAAGCUGCGGCAGCGACGCUUAUGCGUUGUUGGGUAGGGGAGCGUUCUGUAAGCCUGUGAAGGUGUGCUGUGAGGCAUGCUGGAGGUAUCAGAAGUGCGAAUGCUGACAUAAGUAACGAUAAAGCGGGUGAAAAGCCCGCUCGCCGGAAGACCAAGGGUUCCUGUCCAACGUUAAUCGGGGCAGGGUGAGUCGACCCCUAAGGCGAGGCCGAAAGGCGUAGUCGAUGGGAAACAGGUUAAUAUUCCUGUACUUGGUGUUACUGCGAAGGGGGGACGGAGAAGGCUAUGUUGGCCGGGCGACGGUUGUCCCGGUUUAAGCGUGUAGGCUGGUUUUCCAGGCAAAUCCGGAAAAUCAAGGCUGAGGCGUGAUGACGAGGCACUACGGUGCUGAAGCAACAAAUGCCCUGCUUCCAGGAAAAGCCUCUAAGCAUCAGGUAACAUCAAAUCGUACCCCAAACCGACACAGGUGGUCAGGUAGAGAAUACCAAGGCGCUUGAGAGAACUCGGGUGAAGGAACUAGGCAAAAUGGUGCCGUAACUUCGGGAGAAGGCACGCUGAUAUGUAGGUGAAGUCCCUUGCGGAUGGAGCUGAAAUCAGUCGAAGAUACCAGCUGGCUGCAACUGUUUAUUAAAAACACAGCACUGUGCAAACACGAAAGUGGACGUAUACGGUGUGACGCCUGCCCGGUGCCGGAAGGUUAAUUGAUGGGGUCAGCGCAAGCGAAGCUCUUGAUCGAAGCCCCGGUAAACGGCGGCCGUAACUAUAACGGUCCUAAGGUAGCGAAAUUCCUUGUCGGGUAAGUUCCGACCUGCACGAAUGGCGUAAUGAUGGCCAGGCUGUCUCCACCCGAGACUCAGUGAAAUUGAACUCGCUGUGAAGAUGCAGUGUACCCGCGGCAAGACGGAAAGACCCCGUGAACCUUUACUAUAGCUUGACACUGAACAUUGAGCCUUGAUG
rnacentral:rRNA from 1 species